AUUGAACGCUGGCGGCAGGCCUAACACAUGCAAGUCGGACGGUAGCACAGAGAGCUUGCUCUCGGGUGACGAGUGGCGGACGGGUGAGUAACGUCUGGGAAACUGCCCGAUGGAGGGGGAUAACUACUGGAAACGGUAGCUAAUACCGCAUAACGUCGCAAGACCAAAGUGGGGGACCUUCGGGCCUCACACCAUCGGAUGUGACCAGAUGGGAUUAGCUAGUAGGUGGGGUAAUGGCUCACCUAGGCGACGAUCCCUAGCUGGUCUGAGAGGAGGACCAGCCACACUGGAACUGAGACACGGUCCAGACUCCUACGGGAGGCAGCAGUGGGGAAUAUUGCACAAUGGGCGCAAGCCUGAUGCAGCCAUGCCGCGUGUAUGAAGAAGGCCUUCGGGUUGUAAAGUACUUUCAGCGGGGAGGAAGGCGGUGAAGUUAAUAGCUUCACCGAUUGACGUUACCCGCAGAAGAAGCACCGGCUAACUCCGUGCCAGCCGCCGCAGUAA
rnacentral:rRNA from 1 species